rnacentral:rRNA from 1 species
UACGUAGGGGGCAAGCGUUGUCCGGAUUUAUUGGGCGUAAAGAGCGUGUAGGCGGUUAGGUAGGUCCGUUGUGAAAACUCGAGGCUCAACCUCGAGACGCCGAUGGAAACCAUCUGACUAGAGUCCGGAAGAGGAGAGUGGAAUUCCUGGUGUAGCGGUGAAAUGCGCAGAUAUCAGGAAGAACACCCGUGGCUAAGGCGGCUCUCUAGUACGUGACUGACGCUGGGACGCGAAAGCGUGGGGAGCGAACAGG